UGCCGUAUUGGGAGGGCCGAGUGCCUUCUCCCUAGGUUGUUGAAAGGGACAUUUCAGGCCUGGAGCGUGUAUACUUCGAGGCAGAAAGGGCGUGCGCAGGGCCUGCAGAGAAGAGGAAGACAAAGAUGUGCCUGCUGCUGAGAUACCGUCUCCACUUUUAUCAAGCUUUCAAGUUUGGAUCAGUGCACACGGGAAUGCCUUUGACUACGACUCGAGCAAUGAACGACCUAGCCAUUGCCCCUCACCUCGGCGCUAACAGGGCUGGAGAGAGAAGCUGCAUUCAGGAAAUGUCCAAGGUGCCACAGUCAGAAGCACAGCCCCCUUUAACACUUUCUGUCCUGAAAAUCUUAACUCAAGUUGCACUCAUAACGGAAGGAAAGAUAGGUUUCCACCAUCCAAAUUCACAGAAGCCCUGGAUCUUAUGCAUGAAUCUUAGCUUAAGGCUCUCUCUGCAGUUAAAUUGUAACAACGCUAGGUGAUAUUCUAUCACGGUGGAUGUUUCAGAAAUCAACAUGAUAAUAAAGUCACCUUAGCUAGACAUGGCGGAACACGCCUGAAAAGCCCAGAACUUGGAGGUGAAGAUGGGGGGUUGAAGUUUAAGACCAGCGUUGCCCGCACAGGCGCUGGUAAUGCAGCCAGACUGCUUGAAACUGUCUCAGAGCAAACGACAAAUGAAACCCACAAAAAAUCUC